rnacentral:rRNA from 1 species
AGAGUUUGAUCAUGGCUCAGGAUGAACGCUAGCGACAGGCUUAACACAUGCAAGUCGAGGGGCAGCAUGAUUUGUAGCAAUACAGAUUGAUGGCGACCGGCGCACGGGUGAGUAACGCGUAUGCAACUUACCUAUCAGAGGGGGAUAGCCCGGCGAAAGUCGGAUUAAUACCCCAUAAAACAGGGGUCCCGCAUGGGAAUAUUUGUUAAAGAUUCAUCGCUGAUAGAUAGGCAUGCGUUCCAUUAGGCAGUUGGCGGGGUAGCGGCCCACCAAACCGACGAUGGAUAGGGGUUCUGAGAGGAAGGUCCCCCACAUUGGUACUGAGACACGGACCAAACUCCUACGGGAGGCAGCAGUGAGGAAUAUUGGUCAAUGGCCGAGAGGCUGAGCCAGCCAAGUCGCGUGAAGGAAGAAGGAUCUAUGGUUUGUAAACUUCUUUUAUAGGGGAAUAAAGUGGAGGACGUGUCCUUUUUUGUAUGUACCCUAUGAAUAAGCAUCGGCUAACUCCGUGCCAGCAGCCGCGGUAAUACGGAGGAUGCGAGCGUUAUCCGGAUUUAUUGGGUUUAAAGGG